rnacentral:rRNA from 1 species
GACCAUCUCCUAAGGCUAAAUACUCUCUAGUGACCGAUAGUGAACCAGUACCGUGAGGGAAAGGUGAAAAGCACCCCGGAAGGGGAGUGAAAUAGAACCUGAAACCGUGUGCUUACAAGUAGUCAGAGCCCGUUAAUGGGUGAUGGCGUGCCUUUUGUAGAAUGAACCGGCGAGUUACGAUUUGAUGCAAGGUUAAGCAGUAAAUGUGGAGCCGUAGCGAAAGCGAGUCUGAAUAGGGCGUUUAGUAUUUGGUCGUAGACCCGAAACCAGGUGAUCUACCCUUGGUCAGGUUGAAGUUCAGGUAACACUGAAUGGAGGACCGAACCGACUUACGUUGAAAAGUGAGCGGAUGAACUGAGGGUAGCGGAGAAAUUCCAAUCGAACCUGGAGAUAGCUGGUUCUCUCCGAAAUAGCUUUAGGGCUAGCCUCAAGUGAUGAUUAUUGGAGGUAGAGCACUGUUUGGACGAGGGGCCCCUCUCGGGUUACCGAAUUCAGACAAACUCCGAAUGCCAAUUAAUUUAACUUGGGAGUCAGAACAUGGGUGAUAAGGUCCGUGUUCGAAAGGGAAACAGCCCAGACCACCAGCUAAGGUCCCAA